AUACGUAGGUGGCAAGCGUUGUCCGGAUUUACUGGGUGUAGAGGGCGUGUAGGCGGAGAUGCAAGUCAGGAGUGAAAUCUAGGGGCUCAACCCCUAAACUGCUUUUGAAACUGUAUCCCUUGAGUAUCGGAGAGGCAGGCGGAAAUUCUCUUGUAGCGGUGAAAUGCGUAGAUAUUAGGAGGAACACCAGUGGCGAAGGCGGCCAGCUGGACGACAACUGACGCUGAGGCGCGAAAGCGUGGGGAGCAAACAGGAUUAGAUACCCUGGUAGUCCACGCUGUAAACGAUGAAUACUAGGUGUGGGAGGACUGACCCCUUCCGUGCCGCAGUUAACACAAUAAGUAUUCCACCUGGGGAGUACGAUCGCAAGAUUGAAACUCAAAGGAAUUGACGGG
rnacentral:rRNA from 1 species